AAGUCGUGGGCUCACUGGGGCACGGGAAAAAAAUACCAGAGAAGUCCACUCCUAAUUUUGUUUCUCUCCUCUUCUGGGUUUCUGCUGUAAUGGAUUGAAAAUACACAGGAAAUGUAAUGCAAAACUUGGCUUUGAUUUUUUUUUCCCCCCACCUAACCCUGUAAAGGUUUGGAAAGACUUGAUUACAUGGCAGGGAAAGUAAAAAUGUGGAUGAAAUACCCUGACGCUCAGGCCACAUGACCAGGUGAUAAGGCGUUCUGAGAUUACCAGCAGCCGCUGCUGGCUCAGGUGCGGCCUGUGUGGGAGGACUCGUGUCUCGGUGGUUACAGAGAAGCUGCUUUCCACUGUGUGAACCUGGACUGAAUCACAGGCCGCUUUUUGUUCUCCCUUGGCCUUGGAGGACCUGGGACGUUCCUGUUGCCCAACACCCUGGUGAGCUGAGAACAUUCUGUAGAUUAAUUAGGUUCUCUCCUCCGGCUCAGCAGGUCUGUUCUAGCCAUUUGACCAAACGUGCUCUGAUAUUUUCUACCAGCCUUAGAAGCACAGACUGCAGAUGUGGGCACAUAAAUGUCUGGGAGGGGCACACAGAUACUGUGGGAGGAGUGGGUCUGGCUUAGCUAUUGGGAGCUCUCGGUCGUCCACUUGGCGCUACGUAGAAAGAAUGCCCUGACGUGAAAGUGACAGGCAGCUCGGCAAUUUCUUGAUGGCCUGAACUUGAGUGCGGCCUGUGCUAGAGAAAAUAGAUGGUGCUGCUUAAAAACAAAAGCUAGCAGCCUGCGAGUAGCGCUGUGCCUGCGAGUUCCUGGGAGCAGGAGGGGGCUGUUCCUCCUCCCCUGGCUCCAGUUUCACCCAAGUCACUUCACAGCAGUUGGAAGGAGGUCACCAAUUGUGAGUGUGGGGCGGGGGGCGGGGAGGGAGAGGAAGUGAGAUGAAAAGGGAAGGCCCCGUUCAGCUGGGAGAGGAGCUCGCGGGCUUUCCCGCGGGCCGGCCUGAAGUGGAAGGGCCCGGGGCUGCCUGCCACCCUCGGAUGCCACGCAGGUGCUGGGAGGGCCCCCGUCCGUGGGCUCAGGGACGUGUUCGCACCGACAGGCACAGAAUGGAAAGCACCUUGGGGAAGAAGCGUGUCUCGCCAUCUCAGGAGGCAGGUCGGGCCUGCCCUACCCGGUGCUCACUGGAGCUCCCCGCCGCCCCCCACGUGCUGGGGAGCGGGUCCGGUUCCCCACCAGUUUGCGUCUGGUCUUUGUGUUUGCUCUGGGGCCAGGCGCGCCCCCUGCUGCAGGCCUGGGCUCCUGUUUGGAGUUCUCCUUUCAUUUAUUGCUAAAUUGUCUUGAAAGGCAGUGGCCACACCAACAGAGGUCGUCCGGCCUUCUUCCCACGAAACGAAGCGCCCAAGUGAAAAUGCAUGUACCCGCGGCAGCUUCUCGGCGGCGGGCUUCCUGGGACGGAAGAGACAGGCUCGCCCCAGGGAGACGGAAGCAGGGGAUCGGCUGGAACUCAGCUCGCCUCCUCCUUUCUCAGCAGGGCAGAGAAUCAUGGGCUUGUGCUGACGAAAGCUCCAGAAAAUGGACUCAUUUAACCUUUCCAAAGAUGUUAUCCAAGCUGCAAAAUCUUGGCAAUCUGAAGACCUUUUAAGUCGAUAUACCAAAGAGUUUUAGUCAGGAUUGAAUGCAAAAUGCCAGAAUUUCACUUUUAAAAUCGUCGUAACAUCUAAAUACAACCUAAGCACACUUGUAAACUGAUGCCGAACAGGCACUUUGAGAGCCCUCCCUGCACCCCUUCCUCGCCCCCUCCUUUGUGCAAAUGCUGUUUGCCCAGAACUUCAGCCACUGAAAAUCCUGGGAACUUUCUCUUCCUGGCUGGCUGGCAACCUAGCAGUUUGGACUCCCAGAGGAGGUUUUUAAAUCACUGAGGGAUUUAAGCCUCUCUGUGUCAUAGAAAAGCCAACACCCUCCCAGUUGAAGGUGGCCCCAAAGAUGCGGGCCUGGGACCCAGGACUUCUGCCGAAGAGUGGACGCCUGGGUGCCCCCCCUCGCCUUGCCCUGCACAUGGUAGGUGCUCAAUCAUUACAUACUAAAUAUUCACAGAAAGCAGUGAUCCUGCCGAAGAGAUCCACUGCAAUGCACUUGGCUUCCUAGAAGCAGUAAAUGAAAAGCUUUUCUAUUUUUUAAAACAGAAAAGAUUAAUGAAGCCCUAACGUAGAGGCGGAGAGCUCAACAGAAUCAAGACGUGCGCAGAAGCAAUUUGCUUCUGAAACUCUAAACACGGGUGCUUUAGUACUUCCUGACACUCCUCAGCAGCAAGCAAAUAAAUAUUUACAUGUGGAAGGAAACUGUCCUUUGAAAUGUAGGUUGUUCUAUUCAGAAGAGAAAUACGGCAAGGUACCACUGCUUUAGUGGCAACACGCGUUAUUUAUGUUUUCCAGUUUGAAAAUCAUGCGCUUUCUAUUAGGACCCUUACGUGGUAAACACCGAUUCCCACAUGAAGCGAAUUAGUCCGGCAACCCUCCCCCACCCCACUCUUGCUGGUUCAGGGACAACAGCAUAAGCUCUGACCAAUCACCGUUUGUUUUACGCUUUGAUUACCUGGUGAGCUAAAAGCAAUGAUAGUAAAAGCCUGGACCUUCCAUGUAUUCAGUCUGCAUUUGUUCCUCUCCCCUUUCUUCCAUUUAUGAGUUUGUUCCCAAAAGAUUUUUUUAAAAAAAACUCUGACUCGAGUGACUUUUCCUCUGAUCUGAUCUGAUGUCAAAUUAGUGGGUGGCAGGAGAAAGCAGGCCACAUGAUAUCAUCGUUUCCUAUUCAAACAGAUGGCUUUUUUUUUUUUCAAUAAAAAUACUCUGACUGCAAGGCUAUGAGUGUGCAGAUAAUUGUGCUGCUUACUCCGAUUGGAGGUGUCUCCAGGGAGUUUCCACGCGCAGGAAGCUUUCCUGUUCUGAGGUUUUGGAAGAACACUUUCAGCAGGAUUUCGGGUCACUGAAAUGAAAGUGAACUAUGCUCUGUACAAAUGUAUCAUGUUUAAUUCAAGAGAAAUUCAUUCAUUUCUUUGUUCUAUAAAUAUUUACUGGCAGCCCGUUUUGUAUAGGAGGCUGCCACCUCCCAAAAGCCCCCCGCUCCUUGAGUGGAUUGAGCCUGAUACCCCACGUCAACAGAGGCCUUGGGUGCUCAACGCAGGCUCGUUCAGAAUAACAGAGCACGCCAGUGAUCAUAAGAAGAAAAAUUCACACUCAAAGUUUGGAAAGCAACAGGACAAAGGGAGUAUCCUAUGAAGAUGGUCUCAAAGCACUUUGAGAUGAACAGAAUGUUCUAUAAAUGGGAAUUGAAAAUAAUCAAGACAUUCAUGGAUCCAAACAGGCCACAGAAAUACCAUAGCAACAAAUGAACAAUAAUUGCUGCAUUAUGGGCUCUUUCCCCAGCUGCACUCAUGCAAUCAAAGCUCUGCUGCGUCUUCAGAAGGAGCCCAGGUCAGGUCUGGCUGCCAUCACCCAUGAGGAAGACGUGCGGAGCCAGACAGAUGCCUGGAGGAAAGGUGGGUGUGUGCUGUCCUGCCCCAUCCUCUCUUGUUUCCCUCCCACGUGUUUGCAGAGACGUCCUCAGCAUGGAACCAGGGCCCUGGAUGGAGACAUUGCCAUUCCGGACCCCCCACACCCAAGCCAGUUCAUCCAAGUCACCCGAUAAUGAUGUGCUCUGAAGAAACUACCUGUUGCAGCAAACUCCUUACCUUAUGGCCAGCGCAGGAUGAGGCCGUGGGAGGAUCUUAAUGACACAGUCCACCCUGCAAACCAAGGUCAACAAGACGGCAGGUAUGGCCACGGCCCCUCACCGUGGACUCUGUACGAGCCAAUACACAGUGUGCUAUUCCCCAGUUAUUUCUGAAUACAGCCACAGGGAGAUGUGAACCAGCCCCACUUCUCUAGGGCACACAGAGGCUAGAAAGGAUCCACAGGACCUGUUCAACUUGCCAGUGAUCCCAAACUCCUGAUCCAGGCAGAUCACUAAGACAGAGAAAUAUUCCCUUUUCUAGGAAUGCCCUCUGACCUCAGCCUGCUCAAUGAUGUGUCCACUAGCUCGACACACCCCAGUUAGUGGGGGCAUCUUCUCCAGCGGUGGGGGGACUGCAGUGGGGGCAGCUGCGGAGAUGGCAGAAUCUCUCCUGCGGGAUUGUGGAAUGUCGUAUCCCCUCUGGAAGAGACACAAGGAGUGAGGGCGACACUGGGAAGGGUGUGGGAGGGAGAACCUUCCUUACUGCCUGGUGUCCCUCAGGGGCCAGUGACCAACCUUAUUAGCCACCUCUGUGCAUUCAACCGCUUCCUCUCUCCCGAGGCAGCCAGAGCCUGAAUAUCUCAGCAAGGCAUUAAGAAAGGCUUUAAUAAUUGAUUUAAUUAAAGUCUAAAAAUUAGAGAACCAGCUCCUAUGCGUUGAGUGAUUUCAGAGCUCUCCUUUUCUUUGCCGUCUUCGAAGGGUAAUCUGGAUGCUGGAGGGUUGCUCUCUGGCUUGACAAACUCAGUUUGUUUCCAUAGUUACAAAACACUUGUGCUCUUCCCGACCCACAAUCCAUCAGGAGGGGUACACUGGCUGCCUGGUAACCACGAGAUCAUUUCCUGAAUCGGCAGACCUCUGUAACGCUGUCUAAACAUUAGAAAGGUGGGUGGCCACACCUGUUUUGUGCACUCCUGACAAUCUCAUUUGGAUGUAAGUAUUUUGUAGGAGGAAGCAAAGUAAAGACGAUUUGCACUACACAUUACAAAUAUUUAUAUCUAAUACCCCAAUAAAUGGGAAUUUCAAGGGAAAAGGCGGGAUCGCUGCCGUGCCCCAAGGAGUUUGCUCUCGCCCGGGCUGACUCCGAAUCCAGCUCUCUCCUUGGAGAAAGGAAGCUGUCGGGGGAGCCGAAUGCCACGGUAGUCAAGGGCCAGGCAGCAGAUCGGAGAGAUCUGGACAUACGUCUUUUUCUUUUUUCUUUUUUUUAGACAAAGUCUUGCUCUCGUCGUCCAGGCUGGAGUGCAGUGGCGUGAUCUCAGCUCACUG